AUUGAACGCUGGCGGCAUGCCUUACACAUGCAAGUCGAACGGCAGCGGGGACUUCGGUCCGCCGGCGAGUGGCGAACGGGUGAGCAAUAUAUCGGAACGUACCUUUCAGUGGGGGAUAACUACCCGAAAGGAUAGCUAAUACCGCAUAUUCUGUGAGCAGGAAAGCAGGGGAUCUUCGGACCUUGCGCUGAUUGAGCGGCCGAUAUCAAAUUAGCUAGUUGGUGGGGUAAAGGCCUACCAAGGCGACGAUCUGUAGCGGGUCUGAGAGGAUGAUCCGCCACACUGGAACUGAGACACGGUCCAGACUCCUACGGGAGGCAGCAGUGGGGAAUUUUGGACAAUGGGGGCAACCCUGAUCCAGCCAUGCCGCGUGAGUGAAGAAGGCCUUCGGGUUGUAAAGCUCUUUCGUCCGGGAAGAAAUCGCAUUGGUUAAUACCUGAUGUGGAUGACGGUACCGGAAUAAGAAGCACCGGCUAACUACGUGCCAGCCGCCGCCGUAAUAC
rnacentral:rRNA from 1 species